UACGAAGGGGGCUAGCGUUGCUCGGAAUUACUGGGCGUAAAGGGCGCGUAGGCGGCCUUCUAAGUCAGACGUGAAAUCCCCCGGCUUAACCUGGGAACUGCGUCUGAUACUGGGAGGCUUGAGUAUGGGAGAGGGAUGUAGAAUUCCAGGUGUAGCGGUGAAAUGCGUAGAUAUCUGGAGGAAUACCGGUGGCGAAGGCGGCAUCCUGGACCAUAACUGACGCUGAGGCGCGAAAGCUAGGGGAGCAAACGGG
rnacentral:rRNA from 1 species